rnacentral:rRNA from 1 species
UUCUUUAUCACCGAGUGCUUGCACUCACCGAUAAAGAGUUGAGUGGCGAACGGGUGAGUAACACGUGGGCAACCUGCCCAAAAGAGGGGGAUAACACUUGGAAACAGGUGCUAAUACCGCAUAACCAUAGUUACCGCAUGGUAACUAUGUAAAAGGUGGCUAUGCUACCGCUUUUGGAUGGGCCCGCGGCGCAUUAGCUAGUUGGUGGGGUAAAGGCUUACCAAGGCAAUGAUGCGUAGCCGAACUGAGAGGUUGAUCGGCCACAUUGGGACUGAGACACGGCCCAAACUCCUACGGGAGGCAGCAGUAGGGAAUCUUCCACAAUGGGCGAAAGCCUGAUGGAGCAACGCCGCGUGGGUGAAGAAGGUCUUCGGAUCGUAAAACCCUGUUGUUAGAGAAGAAAGUGCGUGAGAGUAACUGUUCACGUUUCGACGGUAUCUAACCAGAAAGCCACGGCUAACUACGUGCCAGCAGCCGCGGUAAUACGUAGGUGGCAAGCGUUAUCCGGAUUUAUUGGGCGUAAAGGGAACGCAGGCGGUCUUUUAAGUCUGAUGUGAAAGCCUUCGGCUUAACCGGAGUAGUGCAUUGGAAACUGGGAGACUUGAGUGCAGAAGAGGAGAGUGGAACUCCAUGUGUAGCGGUGAAAUG